rnacentral:rRNA from 1 species
CCUACGGGUGGCAGCAGUGAGGAAUAUUGGUCAAUGGCCGGAAGGCUGAACCAGCCAAGCCGCGUGAGGGAGGAAGGCGCAGAGCGUCGCAAACCUCUUUUGCCGGGGGACAAAAGGCCGUACUCGUCCGGUCCUGCGUGUACCCGGAGAAAAAGCAUCGGCUAACUCCGUGCCAGCAGCCGCGGUAAUACGGAGGAUGCGGGCGUUAUCCGGAUUCAUUGGGUUUAAAGGGUGCGCAGGCGGGCCUUUAAGCCGGCGGUGAAGUCGCGGGGCUCAACCCCGCCGGGCCGUCGGAACUGGGGGGCUUGAGUGGGGGGGAGGCAUGCGGAAUGCGCGGGGUAGCGGUGAAAUGCAUAGAUAUCGCGGAGAACCCCGAUGGCGAAGGCAGCGUGGCGGGGCGCCACUGACGCUGAGGCACGAAAGCGGGGGGGAUCGAACAGGAUUAGAUACCCGUGUAGUC